rnacentral:tRNA from 1 species
AUUUAAGUAGUUUAACAUUAAAAUUUUGAUUUGUGGUAUCAAGGAUGUAAAUUUAUUACCUUAAAUU